CGACCGACCGUCAGCGGCUGAGCACACCUGUGAUGGGUUUUCAUGACUCUGUUAACUAAAGUGGAAGAGCCACGCUAAACGUGGGUAGCACCUUGCCACGGCAACCCAGAUAAAACAAAGUCCCAGGGAAAAGCUUUUGGCUUCAUCGCCCUUGAGUCUCACUGGAGAGUUCAUCUACGCUCGCGCUAAUGCUGCUGCGUCUGCUGCACCUUUUCACUAAAUAUCACUGAAUCUCCAGGCUUCCGAUGUGGACUGAAGAUCAGAGUUUCUCCGGGAGUCACCUAGGUCUUCAGAGCAGAUCCUCACUGCUGAGACCUCCAGCCUCUGAGACUGAGCAGCGAUUGGUUCUCAGCCCCCGCCCCCGGAAGAUAGCCACGGCUGGACCACCCAGACCGUAUGAAAGCCCUUAUACAAAUUCUCCUUUACGGUAGAUUCAUUCUAUCAGUUCUGUUCCACCAGAGAACCCUGACUAACCCUGGCAACAUUACUGGGCCUGGAGGACAUUAGUGUCAUAGCCAAGCACAAAAAAGCUCUACAUUAUCUCAUUUAUAUAAAGAGUCCCAAAAGUCGCCAAGGGCUGGCGGGGUGGAUGUGGGGUGAGAGGAAGGUGAGGAAAUGAUGGUUCAAGUACCCAGUGUGUGGGCCAGGGGAACAGCUCAGCGGAUAAAAGCAUCAACUAUCUGCAGCCCCAGCUUUUCCUAUGCUGAGAUGACAGACGUAGACAGGAGAGUCGCUAGGACACUUGUAGGCCAGCCAGCCUGGAGUACAGGGCAUAGCAGCAGACACAGAGAGAGACUUAACAAGGUGGGAACUGCAGUGCUCGAUUCAAUCUGGAAGUCUGAGAUGAGGCAUAGUCUGGUGGAAAUCGAUGCUGGUCCUUGAUGCUGUGUCCGUGAUUCUACGCGAGCAACACGGCCUGGGUGGGGAGGGUGGGGGUCCCUCUCUGCCUGCCCCAUCAAAUUCUACAGACCACGCGGCUUCAUCCAAUCCAAAUAUGAAAAUAGCCAUCCUCCUGUGACACAUAAAGCCAUGAGUAAAUAAAUUUACAUAGCAUCCCA